rnacentral:rRNA from 1 species
GAGUUUGAUCCUGGCUCAGGACGAACGCUGGCGGCGUGCUUAACACAUGCAAGUCGAACGAAGAGCGAUGGAAGCUUGCUUCUAUCAAUCUUAGUGGCGAACGGGUGAGUAACGCGUAAUCAACCUGCCCUUCAGAGGGGGACAACAGUUGGAAACGACUGCUAAUACCGCAUACGAUCUAAUCUCGGCAUCGAGGAAAGAUGAAAGGUGGCCUCUAUGUAUAAGCUAUCACUGAAGGAGGGGAUUGCGUCUGAUUAGCUAGUUGGAGGGGUAACGGCCCACCAAGGCGAUGAUCAGUAGCCGGUCUGAGAGGAUGAACGGCCACAUUGGGACUGAGACACGGCCCAGACUCCUACGGGAGGCAGCAGUGGGGAAUCUUCCGCAAUGGACGAAAGUCUGACGGAGCAACGCCGCGUGAGUGAUGACGGCCUUCGGGUUGUAAAGCUCUGUUAAUCGGGACGAAAGGCCUUCUUGCGAAUAGUUAGAAGGAUUGACGGUACCGGAAUAGAAAGCCACGGCUAACUACGUGCCAGCAGCCGCGGUAAUACGUAGGUGGCAAGCGUUGUCCGGAAUUAUUGGGCGUAAAGCGCGCGCAGGCGGAUCAGUCAGUCUGUCUUAAAAGUUCGGGGCUUAACCCCGUGAUGGGAUGGAAACUGCUGAUCUAGAGUAUCGGAGAGGAAAGUGGAAUUCCUAGUGUAGCGGUGAAAUGCGUAGAUAUUAGGAAGAACACCAGUGGCGAAGGCGACUUUCUGGACGAAAACUGACGCUGAGGCGCGAAAGCCAGGGGAGCGAACGGGAUUAGAUACCCCGG